rnacentral:sRNA from 1 species
CAGAUGUUUUGUAAAGGUCAGCUGUUUUAUGAAAAGCAGCCGUUACAUGCAAACACAAAAGCUAACGCCAAAAUGGAUCAAAAAGGCAGAGAUUCAUGGCAGCAGCUAGUGUUCAGGUUGAGAAAACUCGACAAAUCAAGUUGUAAUAUUACCUGAAGUCAGUUGUUCUACAUUAGAAGAUAACGAGAAAAGAGCAAUUAUCGAUUUCUUAAGCGAUUUGAUGGAAUAAUCCUCAUCGGAGAGCUACGGUGAAACUAACACCGCUCCUUUGAAUUUGUUAAGGAGGGAAGAUGCCGCCAUGGGAUUAAGUGGGUCUGGCUGGGCAGUUAAAAGUGACGUACAUUGGGAUUGGUGAAAAUUAGUGCAAAUUAGUCUGCCAAUUGUGAACGGAUACAGAUGUCUUCAAUGAUAACAAAUUGUCCGU